AUUGAACGCUGGCGGCAGGCCUAACACAUGCAAGUCGACCGAGCGGCGGACGGGUGAGUAAUGUCUGGGGAACUGCCCGAUAGAGGGGGAUAACUACUGGAAACGGUGGCUAAUACCGCAUACAAUCGGUUGUACCCAGAGGGGAUUAGCUAGUAGGUGGGGUAAAGGCUCACCUAGGCGACGAUCUCUAGCUGGUCUUAGAGGAUGAACAGCCACACUGGGACUGUGACACGGCCCAGACUCCUACGGGAGGCAGCAGUGGGGAAUAUUGCACAAUUGGCGCAAGCCUGAUGCAGCCAUGCCGCGUGUAUGAAGAAGGCCUUAGGGUUGUAAAGUACUUUCGGCGGGGAGGCGUUACCCGCAGAAGAAGCACCGGCUAACUCCGUGCCAGCAGCCGCGGUAAGUC
rnacentral:rRNA from 1 species